rnacentral:lncRNA from 1 species
GUUGGUUUUUACUGAUAUUAUGGAAAAUUAGAUUAAUCUGCUCACCACUACGGAUUUUGAGACCACAGAUUUACCCAUCUCUUGUGACCAAAAAAUGGGAGUUUAUUACUGUGUUGUAGUAAGAUGCACAGAUCUUUUUCACGCACACAGUAAAUGGUCCACAGGUUAAAAGGGUUCAUGCAACAAUUUGGUACAGACAUAAUUGGGUCAAUCCUAAGUUGAGACACAACUAUUAAAGAUUCUUAGACCAUAAUGAUUGCCCUAAAAACCCAAAUCAUUUGAUCAAAUCUUAUUCACUAUAUAAUCGAAUCAACAUGCACUCAGAGAAGCUAAAAAGAUUAAAUAAAAUACUUUUCACACAAAAGAGAGAAGGAUUCUAAACUAAAUCAGUAAGCUAUAAGUGUAUGGUGAUUGUUCUGCGGUAGAGAACACGGCCCUUCCAAGUUUCAACAGGGUGAUCUAGGCAACUUCACAAGCGGUAUUUGUUAUCUGGAAACAUUAGCGUGUGUCACAGAGGGUACAGAAGACAAACAGUGUACAUGGAUUUGGGACAAAAUUAAUGCAAAUGGGUGCUAAUUUUGCAGCUGAAGAACACAAUCGAAAGAACAAAUUAAGAGAAGAAAGUGAAAAAAUAAAAUAAAAUGGGCCACAAUGUGGUCUGUGAGUGCUUCAGCAGUGUUUAAAACAGUUCGAAACACCCUUGCGUUAUAUUAUAUUUAGUUAUGCUCUGUGUUUAUUAUAAUAUAGACGCAUUCCCAAUCUCUGUCUGCAGUCGCAAUUUUUGACUGUUUGCUUCUGUGUCAGGAGCUGUUCCCAUGAGCGAGGUACUUACCAUAGUAUUACAAGCAAACAUUUACAUCUUCAUUCGUUGAACUUAUUUAAUUUUUCCUGACUUUCAUGGCAGAGUGGUG